UACGGAGGGGGCUGGCGUUGUUCGGAAUUACUGGGCGUAAAGGGUCUGUAGGUGGCCAACUAAGUCAGACGUGAAAUCCCUCAGCUUAACUGGGGAACUGCGUCUGAUACUGGAUGGCUCGAGUGUGGGAGAGGAAUGCGGAAUUCCAGGUGUAGCGGUGAAAUGCGUAGAUAUCUGGAGGAACACCGGUGGCGAAGGCGGCAUUCUGGACCAUAACUGACACUGAGAGACGAAAGCCAGGGGAGCAAACGGG
rnacentral:rRNA from 1 species